rnacentral:lncRNA from 1 species
AGGUUUUCCUGGCAAAGGAGCCUUUGAUGGUGGAUGUCUUCAUGGCACAUGUGAGGACCAUCAAUACCAAAUCUCCCUUCAUCUGCUUGGAGUUCCCUGCAUCAGUACAUGAUCCCAUAUAGGGCAGGGUAAGCAUUGUUCUUCAGGUUUCUUUUUAAAACUCUAAGCGCUAUUGGGAAAGGGAAGCCAAUGGUCCUCCCACCACUGAGUGACUGGGUCUGGGUGGGCUAAAGCUGGAGGAGAAGAGGCCUGGGAAGGGUGAGGCUGCCACGGGUACCUCAUAGGUUGGUUGACCAGGCCUGACUGGUGGCCUGUAAGGCUGCAACCUGGCAACCAAAC